rnacentral:rRNA from 1 species
UACGUAGGUGGCAAGCGUUAUCCGGAAUUACUGGGCGUAAAGGGUGUGCAGGCGGGGAUACAAGUGGUGUAUGAAAUCUCCCAGCUUAACUGGGAGCGGUUAUGUCAGACUGUAUUUCUAGAGGACGAGAGAGGGGGGUGGAAUUCCGGGUGUAGUGGUGAAAUGCGUAGAGAUCCGGAGGAACCCCAGAGGCGAAGGCGGCCCCCUGGCUCGUACCUGACGCUCAGCCACGAAAGCAUGGGGAGCGAACGGG